GGCAAUAAACUAAUGGCUGCAAAAUAAUUUAAUGAACACAACUAUUAGCGGUAUAUGAGCAUUAGCCGGAAUUAUCUACUUAUUUACUGGCAAUAGAAAGCAAUGGCCACUAUAAGCCACAAAUUGGAAGCGCCUUAUAUUAUUUCAUCUUUUCCCUCUAGAUUUUCCACUAAAAUAACCUGUUCCCUCCCAUUCCUUUUAUCUAAUUUUAGAGAACUUUGAAAGAUACUAUUUCAGAAAUACUCAACGCACACAUCGGCGCUGCCCUAUCGCUACUGCUCCACUUAGUCUCUAUCUCACCAUCACCGCGAUUAUCCCCAGGAGUCGUUGUUGUUAGACAUCCUUACAUUGGAUUUGCUGGAAUGGAAGAAAUAAAUGAGGCUAAUUCUCGAGGGCCGGCCAACUUUACAGUAGCUGAGGGUUGCUAUUCACGAAGCAGUGGAGCAACAAACUAUUUUCAUUGCUAAGGAAGGAAUAACAACAGUCCUUGAUUCAAGAACCUCGGUACUUGCUGCGGCUAAAUCUCCAUCUGGAAGCUAUGAUGAUCUCAAGGUCUAUAUAAUUCCUUUCAAUUGUUUUGAUGUUAUUUUUUAGUUCAAGAACCUCCAUGCUCGCAGCAACUAACCUUCUCUUUGGAAGCUAUGAUGAUCUCAAGGUCUAUAUAAUUCCUUUCAAUUGUUUUGAUGUUUUACAAAUUUCUGCAACUUGUUUUGGCAAUAUAGCAGGCGCUGAUGUACUAUUUGCAUUGCUGACUAGCACAAGACAACAU